rnacentral:rRNA from 1 species
AUUGAACGCUGGCGGCAUGCCUUACACAUGCAAGUCGAACGGCAGCGCGGGGCAACCUGGUGGCGAGUGGCGAACGGGUGAGUAAUGCAUCGGAACGUACCUUUCAGUGGGGGAUAACGUAGCGAAAGUUACGCUAAUACCGCAUAUUCUGUGAGCAGGAAAGCAGGGGAUCGCAAGACCUUGCGCUGAUUGAGCGGCCGAUAUCAGAUUAGCUAGUUGGUGAGGUAAAAGCUCACCAAGGCGACGAUCUGUAGCGGGUCUGAGAGGAUGAUCCGCCACACUGGAACUGAGACACGGUCCAGACUCCUACGGGAGGCAGCAGUGGGGAAUUUUGGACAAUGGGGGCAACCCUGAUCCAGCCAUGCCGCGUGAGUGAAGAAGGCCUUCGGGUUGUAAAGCUCUUUCGGCCGGGAAGAAAUCGUAUCAGCUAAUACCUGGUGCGGAUGACGGUACCGGCAUAAGAAGCACCGGCUAACUACGUGCCAGCAGCCGCCGUAAGAC